GACGUAGGGCGCGAGCGUUGUCCGGAUUUAUUGGGCGUAAAGAGCUCGUAGGCGGUUUGUCGCGUCGAAUGUGAAAACCCGGGGCUCAACCCCGGGCCUGCAUUCGAUACGGGCAGACUAGAGUUCGGUAGGGGAGUCUGGAAUUCCUGGUGUAGCGGUGAAAUGCGCAGAUAUCAGGAGGAACACCGGUGGCGAAGGCGGGUCUCUGGGCCGAUACUGACGCUGAGGAGCGAAAGCAUGGGUAGCGAACAGG
rnacentral:rRNA from 1 species